ensembl:lncRNA GPC5-IT1 GPC5 intronic transcript 1
GACUGAAAUGUGCUUAUGCAGCACAUAUAUAAUAAAAAUGAUAAAAGGCUACUCUCUUUAGAAGGACAGACAACAUUGACCACGAUAGUGCCUCAUGCAAAGGAGACAUUCUACAAAUGUGUUGGGAAUGGAAAGCAGAUAAAGAUGUGAUCGAGAUGAAAGAGAAAAAUGGCAUUUGGAAUUCUCCCUUCAGAGAUCAAAGUUAACAGUAUGGUGAUACGGCAUCCAAGGAAGACAGAAAUAACUGAUUUCAAGACAGCGAAAUUUCUACAAUUUACCAGUUAUUUAAAAGCUAGCAAACAAACAACGGCAUACUCACCUUCAUCUGUUGGGGGAAAAUUAUUUUUUGUCAUUGCUCACUUCAACAUGGGCGCAAUGAGAGAUAAGAGACACUAAGAAAUGAGUGUAGAAAUGAAUAUUUUUGCUCAUUCUGCUAGAAAAUAUAAUACUUAGUAGAAACAGAUUCCUGAAUUGCUACACUUUAAACAUGCAAUCACAUUUUACUAUUAUAUGCUAUACACAUACUCUAAAUGUUGUAAGCUUAAUAUUUCAGAUUGUAUAAGAGAUUUUGAGGCAUGUUAUUGUACAUACAAAUAACAUAAAUAGGGUUACCAUCCUAAUCCAAGGGUUACUUAGAAAAGAAACCAAUACUAUUUUU